rnacentral:lncRNA from 1 species
CGUACAUGGAAUGUGGCUUGUCUAGGGCAACUGUAUUUGUAAAUAAAUGGCUUCCUGUUUAUUACGUUCGCUUUCCUGAGAACUCAGCCUCUGAGCACUUAUUAGAGCAAGUAUUCAACUUCUGGUUUAAUUUCCACUGUGUGGGGUGGGGUGUUUUUUGUUUUGUUUUGUGGUAUUCACUAUAAAGAAACCGGGUUAAAAUGAAUCAGUUGGGUCGGGGGGGUGGUUCCUGAUCCUGAAGCAUCCAGGCUGACCAGGAGAUAACAACCUUACAAGUCCUCACUUUGGCCUAAGUGCGAGGAAGGGGGCUGGAUCCUGGGACGCUGCUGGACUCCAAUCUGGGGAGUUUCACUUUUGCCCCCCGGAUCUUUCUACUGCUGACCGCAGCCUUCUCUAGCAGCUUCAGAGGGCAAGGCGGCUAUCCUCCUGGCGGGUGGCCUGGGCACCGACCUGCCGCCUGGCAUCCCCGCUAACCCUGCAGCCGCGCUCGCCCACCGCCCGCUCAGAGUCGCCGCGCAGGGCCAGGUUCCGCCGCUCCCGGGCGGGGACCGCAACGAGGCCGGGCACACGCAGCCGACCCCAGCGUCCGUGGGGCGCCCGAGUUCCCAACCCCGGGGAGGCGGCCGGGCCUGGCGCCCGAAACUCCAACCAGCGCCGGCCUCCGGCCGCCCUGCCCCCGCUCGCGUCUCCUCUGCCAGACUCGGCGCUCGGAACAAUGCAGCGCCCGGCGCCCCAGCGGGCCUCGCUGACCCCUAAGGCCCCCCGAUCCGGACCGCCGCCCCAUGCUGGACCUUCUUCCGAGCCGUUUUCCGGGUUUUUUAACCCCUGCGUCGAUAUCAAAGGGAGAAGGAGUGAAGACAGAAGAUGGAAAAAAGGAGAGAACAAGGCAGGUGCUAGGUGCUAUCCAACGUCGCCGUGUAGGACUUCUCGUGGUGGGAAGAACCUCAAGAGUGCAGUUUUGGUGAGCUAGUCAUCUUCACCCUCCUUUUAAAAGAAAAACAAAAACGGAACACCACCACAGUAUAAAGGAGAUCGCAUGAUCGCCCCCCCUUUCUUUUCCGGUUUUGUGAGAUACGUAUAAAAAACAGUCUGGGCAUUUAUAUGCUUUGUUUGUUUAUUUUGCCCCUCCUUCCACGGACUUCAAGCCUGGUCUCCUCGGUGCGUCCCUCG